UCGUAACAAGGUUUCCGUAGGUGAACCUGCGGAAGGAUCAUUACCGAGUGAGGGCCCUCUGGGUCCAACCUCCCACCCGUGUUUAUUUUACCUUGUUGCUUCGGCGGGCCCGCCUUAACUGGCCGCCGGGGGGCUUACGCCCCCGGGCCCGCGCCCGCCGAAGACACCCUCGAACUCUGUCUGAAGAUUGUAGUCUGAGUGAAAAUAUAAAUUAUUUAAAACUUUCAACAACGGAUCUCUUGGUUCCGGCAUCGAUGAAGAACGCAGCGAAAUGCGAUACGUAAUGUGAAUUGCAAAUUCAGUGAAUCAUCGAGUCUUUGAACGCACAUUGCGCCCCCUGGUAUUCCGGGGGGCAUGCCUGUCCGAGCGUCAUUUCUGCCCUCAAGCACGGCUUGUGUGUUGGGCCCCGUCCUCCGAUCCCGGGGGACGGGCCCGAAAGGCAGCGGCGGCACCGCGUCCGGUCCUCGAGCGUAUGGGGCUUUGUCACCCGCUCUGUAGGCCCGGCCGGCGCUUGCCGAUCAACCCAAAUUUUUAUCCAGGUUGACCUCGGAUCAGGUAGGGAUACCCGCUGAACUUAAGCAUAUC
rnacentral:misc_RNA from 1 species